ACAACUGGCCACAUUGAUUGACAAUUUUCUUGCCAGCAUUUAUCCCGUCUUUAAUCAAACAACACGUGCAGUUUUGAUACGUGAGGCACGUGACGUCCUCUUGACGACCUAUCACGGAUGUUUAACAACAUUUCAACAACAAUUUCUAUGUAAAUUUGCCGGAAUCGCGAACAUCUUAAGGGAAAGGCAUGGCAUCGGUGAGGCUUUAAUUUGGAGUCAAGGAUGGCCUCUAGUAACACCUAUUGGCGAAGUUAUACUUCAUUUGGGGGGCCUUGAUGAUAAGCACGUGAAACCUGCCGAGAUUUAUUUAUGUGUUAAACCAGGUGAAAAUAAGUCCGAACCAAAAUUGUAUGCCAUUUGGCGUACACCAACGCUAAAUUAUAUUGCCAAAACUCGAACGAUAUCAACAACAGCGACAACAUCAUCAUCGCCGGCGUCAACUGUAACGA